CUCUUAUAGCCCCACAACCCCCCCUAGGCGCCGUGUGCUUGGUUUUAGGUUGGGGCGACCGCGGAGUACAAUAAAACCUCCACAAUGAACGGGAACACCCCCUUAUCUGAGGGCCACACCCCCUAAGAAUUAGAACACUAACAUAAAAUGAUCCAUUACUUGAUCAAUGAACCAAGUUACCCUGGGGAUAACAGCGCAAUCCAUUUCAAGAGCCCCUAUCGACAAAUGGGUUUACGACCUCGAUGUUGGAUCAGGGUACCCCAGUGGUGCAGCAGCUACUAACGGUUCGUUUGUUCAACGAUUAAAACCCU
rnacentral:rRNA from 1 species